GCUUUGGAUUUGUAAAACAAGCAACUUCUCUGGCAGGUGCUUUGAUUUCAGAGAAUUAAAGUAAUUGCCACAAAAGGGCUGACAAACCCCACAGCUGCUGGAGUAAAAGGAGAAGGAGCUGCAUGGAUGUGCACAGCAUGCCUGGGCAGGAGAAAAGCUUUAUCAACUAGACCAGUCGUGGAUGUUCAGAAAAAGGACAAAAAGCACAGUCAGAGCUGUAGAAAACAAGAUGUGCAGAAACAUGGUUUAUUUAAUCUUCACAUAAGAGGACUGAAAUGAACUUACAAAGCAGCUGCAGAUGAGAGAAAGACAAACAGCUCUUCAUGUGCACUGAUGAUAGGACAAAGAGUAAUUGGUUUCCACCCCACUAAGAGAACUUAAGGUUGGCUACCCUAGGAGACUUCUGAAGUGAUUAAUUUUGUGCUAGGAAAUCUUGUUCAAGAAUCUGUGAAACCUCCACCACAGGAGGGUCUCAUAAACAGCUGAGGCAGGAAUGAUUUAAGUGUUCAUGAGACCAGCUGAUCCUGCCUUAGAGGAGUUGAAGAGUUGUAGGUUAAAACACGUCUGUGAAAUAUCUUCCAACAUUGUCUCCAAAUACCUCAUUUUAUUUUCUCAAAUACCUUGGAUCAGGACAGGACUCAUGGCUCGGAAUGGAUUCAAAGUUUGGGGUUGUUCAUGCCUUAGCCAAGACGUUGGGUUCCACUGCUCUCUCCACUUCACAUCCAUUUCACUUUCCAGCUCAUGCAGAGUGGGGUGAAAACCAAAAUCCAAGCAAGGCACCAGCACUGGGACCAUAACCUCACAGGCAGCCAGCCCCUGGCUGUUGAUAUCAGAGCCUUGCAGAGCUUCCUCAGCUGCUACCAUCUAAUCCCCACGGUGCUUAACCUGAAUCCUGACCCCUCUCUUUCCUGCUCAAGUGGCACCUCCUCAGGGAAAGAACUGAGUGUACAACAGUGAACCUUUCUUGGAUGCCAGGCUCAGGAAUGAUCACGGACAGAAACCCAGGGAGAGAACUGAGUGAAGAACAGUGAACCUUUCUUGGAUGCCAGGCUCAGGAAUGGUGAUGGACAGAAGCUGUUAAAGUGCAGAACAAGGCCAAAGCUUGAGGCUGCCCGGGUGCUGCCCUGUGCUGUCAGACCAGUUCCUCUGCCCUUCUGCUCACCCAAAUACCCAAGCUCAGAGCAGAAUGGACAAGCUGCCUCUCAGCUGCCUUGCAUCCCCUUGCAGGGCUGUAACUGUGCAGAAGGCAUGAAGACAGGCAGGUCAGCACCAGACCCACCUCAGAGCUCCCAGUUUGGUUUUCUGAAAGCAGAAGCAAGAGCUCCUCACCAUCUCAGGAACUACAUCAGUACCUAAACCUGGAUGUAACAACACAAAAAUGUGACAAAUGUCACAAAAAUGUGACUUCUGCCUCAAAUGAGAACUUCCAUGAAAUGGCAUCUGCUGAAGAGCUCAUGGGAAGGAAUAUUCCAUUUUCCUACCCCAAGGAAGAAGCUUGGGGAACAAGAGACCUCUUCCAAGACAAAAGAUGGAGAGGUCAUGUCACACACCAAAUAUGCAGAAAUGGAAGAGCAGAAACAUUACACCGAUCACUGCUAAUCAACAUCACCUCAUCCAGCCAAAAUGGCAGUAAAUUUGGGAGUGUCUUUGAAAAAGACUAAAUAACAGAAUUAACUUAAAAAAAGAACAAAGUCAGAGUUUUGCCAAAACCUAUUAUAUGCACUCUACAACGGGGCGUCUGUGAGCAACAAGGAGGGAAACAGUAAUAAUAAACUGGAGGAAUGGCUUUCACAGGAUAAUAAAUGAAUUGCAAAUAGCACACAUGUCAGCCACACUAAUUCUAAAAGCAAACAGUUCCAAAAACAGAAAUAAAAUGUGACUGGGACAAAUAGCUUCUUCAUACUUGGAAAAUGAGAGGCACUUCCCUGAGUAAAGAAUCAGUCUAUAAAAAAAAAUGAAACAUUUGUAUUUUGGGUGCUACUUUUUGUGCCAAGGUAAAACAAAAUCAAAAACAAAACAAAAAAAACCCCAAAUAUACAUAUAUAUAUAUCCACACAUCGAACCACCCCAAAACCCAAAGCACCUGGAAAGAUUGCUACACAGAGUGCAGGGCCUAUAAUGCCCAGUCAAAGAGAACUUCUAAAACCCACCUGAAACUGGAUAAGGAACAACUCAGAGAAUGGAUAUAGAUCUAGAAGAAAACCUUCCACAAGGAAGAAAAUUCAGACAAUUAAUUUAGUUAUUAGUCACAUUUAUUGGAAAUGCCUGGGCCAGCUGUAUGAGGCUGGAGAAGUCAUCAGGGACAAUGGAAAUGGAGAUGGACUCUGAUCCUGUAAAGGAGACAGAGGAGUUAGUACCCCCCUGUGAAGCUCUUCCUCCCAGAAGGAAAGUUUGGUAAAAUGUGGAGGCUUAAUUAUUUCAGAUCAUGAGGGUUUGAUACUCCAGAGAAAUACUGCAGUGGCUUGUAAUUCUGAAAGCUGGAAUGUAAAGAGGAUAUAUAGCUAAUCUGCUGGACAGAAAGCUGUAUUUUGUAUCCUUCUAAAGCCUUUGAGCCCUUCUGUUCAAGAAAGAAACAAGACUGAGGCAUCACAGAAAAUUAAGAGAAAAACACAGUUUUCUUUCUUGGAGGACAUAUGUGAUGUUUAGAGCUACCUUCCUGCAGCAGUAACAUUGUGCAGGCCUAUAGAAAAUAAAAGGGAUGUUCAGGUAUUUAGAAACAGCCCAGGAGCAGCCACAGGUGAAUCCACACUGUGAUAUUCCCAUCUUAUUUGAGGUGGAGCAGUGACAGCCUGCAUCUUCAGAGACCCUUUGAUAUGUCCUCAAAGAGGCUCAGCAGCAGUCUUGGAAUCACUUAGGAGUCCUAAUAGUUACAUCAAAGAACUAAAUAGGGCUAAAAAAGGAAAAUAUUCCAUAGAAAUUAUUCUGCAAAACAACACAAUGCCAUAGAGAGUCAGAACCUUUCUGUGGAAAACCUAAACAUUCUGCUUUUAGGGUGUAAUUUUGUACCGAACUUCCCUGAAGAAUUUAACCACUGGUUCAAACAAAAACAGUUUGCACUCCUUGGGUUAGUAAAUAAUGUUCUGCGUCUGCACCAGUGCUUGUGCCUGACCUCUGUAAAAUCAAUUCUUGUUUCUUUUCUUUUGGGCAAAGAGCAGUUCUGAUGGCAGUCAGUAAAGGAGAAACAAAAGUUAGAGAGUGGCUUUGUAGCAAAGAUUCAUUUAGACAAUUUGGUAUCUAUUACAAGCUGAAAUCAGGCAAUGCCUGAAUGCAAAUGUGGAGAGGGAGUGAAAGGGAACCUUGCACAGGGAGAGGGUCCUUUUCCUUCAUUAUCAUUUACAAAUUCAGUGAGUGACACAAGUGUGGGAUCUGGUGACUGGAAACACACUGGACAUGUGUGUCACGAGGCUCCAGGGCCCUGUGCUAGCACCACGUGCCACUAUCAUGUUCAGGUGCUCUCUCCAUCCAGCUGACACUGAGAAUUUAUUGCCAUUGUGCAAGGGGUCUGCAAUCUGCCAUCAGCAGGAUGUGGCUGUCUGCUGCUGCACACAAGGAAAACCUUUGUCCCUUCAUUCCUGGUCCCUUGGGCAAAACGGCUGCACUUGGGGGAAGGUAAUAAAGAUCCUCUCAGAUGCCACAGUGUCUCUGUCUGGGAAGCAAGAAAAUCAGAAAGAGGGGGAGACAGAAAAUGAUAGUGC